GGCCUGCUGGUGUAAUGGCAACAUAGCCUGACUUAUAGAAUCAAUUUCUGUACAUUAAAAGGGAGCCCCUGGUUCGAAUCCAGGGCAGGCCA